CGGGUGAGUAACACGUGAGCAACCUGUCCCGAAGACCGGGAUAACACCGGGAAACCGGUGCUAAUACCGGAUAUCCCCACCAGAUCGCAUGGUCAGGUGAGGAAAUGGAUUCCGCUUCGGGAGGGGCUCGCGGGCUAUCAGCUUGUUGGUGAGGUAACGGCUCACCAAGGCUUCGACGGCUAGCUGGUCUGAGAGGACGACCAGCCACACUGGGACUGAGACACGGCCCAG
rnacentral:rRNA from 1 species